GACGAACGCUGGCGGCGUGCUUAAUACAUGCAAGUCGAACGGAAAGGCCCUGCUUUUGUGGGGUGCUCGAGUGGCGAACGGGUGAGUAACACGUGAGUAACCUGCCCUUGACUCUGGGAUACCUUCAGGAAACUGGGGCUAAUACAGGAUAUGAGCUCCUGCUGCAUGGUGGGGGUUGGAACGUUUCGGCGGUUGGGGAUGGACUCGCGGCUUAUCAGCUUGUUGGUGGGGUAGUGGCUUACCAAGGCUUUGACGGGUAGCCGGCCUGAGAGGGUGACCGGCCACAUUGGGACUGAGAGACGGCGCAGACGCCUACGGGAGGCAGCAGUGGGGAAUAUGGCACAAUGGGCGGAAGCCUGAUGCAGCAACGCCGCGUGCGGGAUGACGUCCUUCGGGUUGUAAACCGCUUUCGCCUGUAACGAAGCGUGAGUGACGGUAAUGGGUAAAGAAGCACCGGCUAACUACGUG
rnacentral:rRNA from 1 species